GAGUUUCGUGAAGAAGGAGACAGAAUUGAGGAGUACUUCAGGAAGUUUUCUAAUGGCGGCACCUUGCACAUGGGGUUAGCAACAAUAUUUCGAGGUUAUAUUUGCAUGAUCGCUAAAAAUUCUGUGAGGCUGGCUUCUAUUGUCAUGGGUAAGCCAGGCAUAAUUUCUGAAGAUGCACGUCUCACCACACUGAUGACUCCAAGAAAGGGAGA